rnacentral:misc_RNA from 1 species
UAACAUCCCAAGAGCAAAUAUUGACAACUGAAAUAGAAAUAUUCACAAGCCAAUUAUUCGGUAAUUUAUACCUAUAGCAGAAUUUUGCAAGAUGGUGAACCGCUUUAAUAAAUAUGUUUUUCCAACUUCAUCAUGCACUUGUUUAUCUUGCAUGGAUGUGGAUAAGUUUACUUUCGCUUUACAUGUGUUUAAUAAGUUCAAGAAUUUUCAUUGCCGUGGCUUGCUAUUGUAGCUGCAUAUUUCAACAUGGACUUACAAGAUUUUUAGGCCAUGAAAGUGAGA